rnacentral:rRNA from 1 species
CCUACGGGUGGCUGCAGUCGAGGAUCUUCGGCAAUGGACGCAAGUCUGACCGAGCGACGCCGCGUGCGGGAUGAAGGCCUUCGGGUUGUAAACCGCUGUCAGUGGGGAGGAAAUUCAUAAGGGUACUCUCUUAUGAUUGACCUAUCCGCAGAGGAAGUGUGGGCUAAGUUCGUGCCAGCAGCCGCGGUAAGACGAACCACACAAACGUUAUGCGGUAAUACUGGCGUUGGCGGCGCUAAAAGCGGGGCUUGAAAUCCCUCGGCUUAACCGAGGAACUGCGCCCAAUACUGUAGUGCUUGAGGGAGAUAGAGGUGAGCGGAACUUAGGGUGGAGCGGUGAAAUGCGUUGAUAUCCUAAGGAACACCCGUGGCGAAAGCGGCUCACUGGAUCUUCUCUGACGCUGAGGCACGAAAGCUAGGGUAGCGAACGGGAUUAGAUACCCUUGUAGUC